AUUGAACGCUGGCGGCAGGCUUAACACAUGCAAGUCGAGCGAGCGGCGGACGGGUGAGUAAUGUCUGGGAAACUGCCUGAUGGAGGGGGAUAACUACUGGAAACGGUAGCUAAUACCGCAUACCAUCAGAUGGGCCCAGAUGGGAUUAGCUAGUGGGUGGGGUAAUGGCUCACCUAGGCGACGAUCCCUAGCUGGUCUGAGGGGAUGACAGGCCACCCUGGAACUGAGACAGCGUCCAGACUCCUACGGGAGGCAGCAGUGGGGAAUAUUGCACAAUGGGCGCAAGCCUGAUGCAGCCAUGCCGCGUGUGUGAAGAAGGCCUUCGGGUUGUAAAGCACUGUCAGCGGGGAGGCGUUACUCGCAGAAGAAGCACCGGCUAACUCCGUGCCAGCAGCCGCGGUAAUAC
rnacentral:rRNA from 1 species